GGAAGGAGAAGAUCUUGCCACUUGCCAAAUGCUCCUGGAGCAGAGAGAAGUUCCCAUGCAUGUGAGACAAGGUCCUGCAGCUUCAUGGCUUUGGUGGGGAUGACGAGGCUCCUGCCCUCAUGGCUGGCAUUGAUGUGGAUGUAGAAGGUACGGAACUGGAUGAUCUCGCUGUGGUUGAACCAGCAGCCUGUGUUGAUGCCCUCCUCCUGGAGGUCAGGUAUUGAUCGUUGAAGACGAUGCACUCCACGCCUGCAAGGGAAAGCAUAUUUUGUGGCUGAGUGACCUGCUCAAUUCAGCUGCAGAAUCAGGACUAACCCCAGAAGCCCUGUCGCCCAACCCCUGCUCUGCCCACUAGCCCACACUUUAAAGGAAGUGUAUUGCAAAGCCAGCGCUGUGUCAGAGGGGAGCAUGCGAAUGGCCGACCCACCAGGGAAGAGGAUUCCUGAGGCGGGGUGGGGGUUCAGACUGCAGCAUGUACAGACAUUCUGUGGGCUAGGCAUGUGGGGAGCAGGUGGUACAGAGGAGGCUCAAGUCCCUGCCUUUCUAACCCACAGAAGAGGAUUUAUGUAAAUUUUUCAGCUAACUUGGUUCACUGCUUUGGGGUUAUGUGUGCAUCCAGAAUGCCCUCUCUCCAUAUGCUAUGCUUGCAGGGCCGGCGCUUCCAUUUAGGCAGCCUAGGCAAUCGCCUAGGGUGCCAGGA